rnacentral:rRNA from 1 species
GACGAACGCUGGCGGCGUGCCUAAUACAUGCAAGUAGAACGCUGAGGAGAGGAGCUUGCUCUUCUUGGAUGAGUUGCGAACGGGUGAGUAACGCGUAGGUAACCUGCCUUGUAGCGGGGGAUAACUAUUGGAAACGAUAGCUAAUACCGCAUAACAAUGGAUGACACAUGUCAUUUAUUUGAAAGGGGCAAUUGCUCCACUACAAGAUGGACCUGCGUUGUAUUAGCUAGUAGGUGAGGUAACGGCUCACCUAGGCGACGAUACAUAGCCGACCUGAGAGGGUGAUCGGCCACACUGGGACUGAGACACGGCCCAGACUCCUACGGGAGGCAGCAGUAGGGAAUCUUCGGCAAUGGGGGCAACACUGACCGAGCAACGCCGCGUGAGUGAAGAAGGUUUUCGGAUCGUAAAGCUCUGUUGUAAGUCAAGAACGAGUGUGAGAGUGGAAAGUUCACACUGUGACGGUAGCUUACCAGAAAGGGACGGCUAACUACGUG